rnacentral:rRNA from 1 species
GUGUUAAUUUUGUUUUACCUGGGUAAUAAUAGUUAAGGUCUUUAAACCCAAAGAAUUUGGCGGUAUUUCAUUCCAUUCAGAGGAACCUAUCUCGUAAUUGAUAAUACACGAUUAACUUUACUUGAUUUAUUUGUUUGUAUAUCUCCGUUAUCAGAAAAUCUUUUUGGAGUUAUAAUUUUCCUGUUUUUCUAUUAAAAAUUAUUUCAGGUCAAGGUGCAGCUUAUAAUCAAGUGUGUGAUGGGUUACAAUAAAUUUUUUUUUAUUAUGGAUUUAAUUUUGAAAUGGUUUAAUGAAGGUGGAUUUGAUAGUAAUUUAAUUUAUUUAAUUUAAUUGAUAUUGGCUCU